rnacentral:rRNA from 1 species
GGGCCCGCACAAGCGGUGGAGUAUGUGGUUUAAUUCGAUGCAACGCGAAGAACCUUACCAGGGUUUGACAUCCUGCGAAUCUCUUGGAAACAGGAGAGUGCCUUCGGGAACGCAGUGACAGGUGGUGCAUGGCUGUCGUCAGCUCGUGUCGUGAGAUGUUGGGUUAAGUCCCAUAACGAGCGCAACCCCCAUUUCUAGUUGCCAGCGGUUCGGCCGGGGACUCUAGAGAGACUGCCGGUGAUAAACCGGAGGAAGGUGUGGAUGACGUCAAGUCAUCAUGCCCCUUACAUCCUGGGCUACACACGUACUACAAUGCUACGGACAAAGGGCUGCAAGUUCGCGAGGACAAGCAAAUCCCAUAAACCGUGGCUCAGUUCAGAUCGUAGGCUGCAACUCGCCUACGUGAAGGCGGAAUCGCUAGUAAUCGCAGGU